CAGUCGAGCGGAAACGAUCCUAGCUUGCUAGGAGGCGUCGAGCGGCGGACGGGUGAGUAAUGCAUAGGAAUCUGCCCGGUAGUGGGGGAUAACCUGGGGAAACCCAGGCUAAUACCGCAUACGCCCUACGGGGGAAAGCAGGGGAUCUUCGGACCUUGCGCUAUCGGAUGAGCCUAUGUCGGAUUAGCUAGUUGGUGAGGUAACGGCUCACCAAGGCUGCGAUCCGUAGCUGGUCUGAGAGGAUGAUCAGCCACAUCGGGACUGAGACACGGCCCGAACUCCUACGGGAGGCAGCAGUGGGGAAUAUUGGACAAUGGGCGAAAGCCUGAUCCAGCCAUGCCGCGUGUGUGAAGAAGGCCUUCGGGUUGUAAAGCACUUUCAGUGAGGAAGAAAGCCUUGAGGUUAAUACCCUCGAGGGAGGACAUCACUCACAGAAGAAGCACCGGCUAACUCCGUGCCAGCAGCCGCGGUAAUACGGAGGGUGCGAGCGUUAAUCGGAAUUACUGGGCGUAAAGCGCGCGUAGGCGGCUUGAUAAGCCGGUUGUGAAAGCCCCGGGCUCAACCUGGGAACGGCAUCCGGAACUGUCAGGCUAGAGUGCAGGAGAGGAAGGUAGAAUUCCCGGUGUAGCGGUGAAAUGCGUAGAGAUCGGGAGGAAUACCAGUGGCGAAGGCGGCCUUCUGGACUGACACUGACGCUGAGGUGCGAAAGCGUGGGUAGCAAACAGGAUUAGAUACCCUGGUAGUCCACGCCGUAAACGAUGUCGACUAGCCGUUGGGCUCCUUGAGAGCUUUGUGGCGCAGUUAACGCGAUAAGUCGACCGCCUGGGGAGUACGGCCGCAAGGUUAAAACUCAAAUGAAUUGACGGGGGCCCGCACAAGCGGUGGAGCAUGUGGUUUAAUUCGAUGCCACGCGAAGACCUUACCUACCCUUGACUCGAGAGACUUUCAGAGAUGGUUGGUGCUUCGGGACUCUCAACAGUGCUGAUGCUGUCUCAGUCG
rnacentral:rRNA from 1 species